CUAGAUACUCAUGCUUUAAUUCCUUCAUAUCUCAAAAAUACAACACUCAAAAACCAUGAAUUUUUCAUAUACAAUUUUUUAACAUGGUCAUCUAUAUUUAUAAUAAAAAAUUGAACAAAAAAUUUGCGAAAUAGUCAAGAUAUGGCAAAAAUUGAAACUUCUAUUAAAAACAACUAAAUUACAAAUCUCAGUUUUGAAAUCUAACUUCCAACAAUACUUUUUUCUUUGUUCUAAAAUGAAACAUAUUAAUGUUUUUAUGUAAAAUUUAGCUCUUUAAGUCAGCUUUUAAAUCUCACUUUUUAAUUCUUCAAAGCUUUCCUAAAACUCUUUAUAUUCUCAAAAGAGUAGUACUAUGUAUCCAAAUCACAC
rnacentral:lncRNA from 1 species